rnacentral:rRNA from 1 species
GACGUAGGGGGCAAGCGUUGUCCGGAAUCAUUGGGCGUAAAGCGCGCGUAGGCGGCCCGGUAAGUCCGCUGUGAAAGUCCAGGGCUCAACCCUGGAAAGCCGGUGGAUACUGUCGGGCUAGAGUCCGGAAGAGGCGAGUGGAAUUCCUGGUGUAGCGGUGGAAUGCGCAGAUAUCAGGAGGAACACCGAUGGCGAAGGCAGCUCGCUGGGACGGUACUGACGCUGAGGCGCGAAAGCGUGGGGAGCGAACAGG